rnacentral:piRNA from 1 species
UGACCAAAAAAAGUGUCCCCAGUUGUUCC